rnacentral:tRNA from 1 species
GUCUGGCUAGCUCAGUUGGUAGAGCUUUUAAUUUCAGGGUCAUGGGUUCAAGCCCCAUGCUGGGCA